AUUGAACGCUGGCGGCAUGCCUUACACAUGCAAGUCGAACGGCAGCACGGGGGCAACCCUGGUGGCGAGUGGCGAACGGGUGAGUAAUGCAUCGGAACGUGCCCAGUAGUGGGGGAUAACCAGUCGAAAGACUGGCUAAUACCGCAUACGACCCAAGGGUGAAAGCGGGGGACCGUAAGGCCUCGCGCUAUUGGAGCGGCCGAUGUCUGAUUAGCUAGUUGGCGGGGUAAGAGCCCACCAAGGCGACGAGCAGUAGCUGGUCUGAGAGGACGACCAGCCACACUGGGACUGAGACACGGCCCAGACUCCUGCGGGAGGCAGCAGUGGGGAAUUUUGGACAAUGGGCGCAAGCCUGAUCCAGCCAUGCCGCGUGCGGGAAGAAGGCCUUCGGGUUGUAAACCGCUUUUGGCAGGAACGAAACGGCGCAGGCCAAUACCUUGCGCUAAUGACGGUACCUGCAGAAUAAGCACCGGCUAACUACGUGCCAGCCGCCGCCGUAA
rnacentral:rRNA from 1 species